CCUCCCUUAGAGGAAAUGGCCGAUCAUCAUCAUCAGGUUAAGACUUCCUUCCUCUUUAUUCGACUGCAGUCGCCCUCUAAGGCCCAUGACCUGCCGUAUCCUGCUGACACUGCCAGCUCCAUCGCCACAGAGGAAGGAGGGUCGACGAACAACUCGGCUGGAGCUAUAGUGACAUCCACAGCUGUAGCCGCAGCACCCAUCCCACCUGACCACAUAGAGGACUGCAGUGUCACGGCCUUGAGAGUAGACAUCAACUCAAAUCAAGAAGUAGACGAAAAAGCCAGAGAGAGAGUGGAAACAUCAGAUUAUUCAGCUCAUGCUGGAGAUGUGGCUUCGGUCGUCUCAGGAGACCCUCAGACUCAGAACUACCAGAACUUAUUGUUGAAAGCUGAUCUGGAAUCAGUGACUGGAUUACAGGACCAUAGUCUCAGUACCUCGGAGUCGGAUUUCCCUGUUUGGGUCCUGCGGGAGGACAGUCCUCGGACAAAGAUGAACAAAGACAAUCAACAGCCACUAGCGGGAACACCAACCACCGCCACCAACCCAGCACCCCCCUCUCAAGCUUAUUCUGCAGCACCACGAGUAAGCUUCCUGCACCCAGCAGAAGGAUCCGUGCCCGACACCCACGGGCCCAAGGCCACUGAGAUGGAGGUGGACAAGCCAAGCCAGAAGCCUUUCCACCAGGCCCCGGCCCCAGCCCCAGCACCUACCCAACCCAACGUGGCUCCCAGCCCCCAUUGCCCCAGCAGCACUAACAGUUGGGUUAGCAGUGCAAAGCAGAAGGAGGCUGGUGAGAAGCCAAGAGGUCCACAGAGUGGUUCACAAGUGUUCCUUAGAAGUCCAGAAGAGCGCAAGACCUUUCUGUAUGCAGUCAAGGAGAGGUCCUCAAAGGUACCUGGAGACACGUACAGGAACGCAGUGACAAGGAGUCUCUCCACGUCUAUAGCUGUCACUCAACCCAGUGUUGUGACUUCACCGGCUUCUUCUUCAGAGCCUUCUGUGGUGAGCUCAGCUAUGUCAAAACCCACAGUCUCAAUAGUUGCUGCUCCAUCCUCUGUGAUCAGUGCUGCUCGUCCCUCCAUGAUAAAGCCUAUUCCAGCUCAGAAGGCUGAAACGUUUGUUUGGGUUAACAGCUCGUCUUCACACGCUCAAAGUGUUGCGAAGGCCAAGUACCAGUUUCUCUUUGGAAAAGGAGACGAGACCAGCUCUACUGAAAGCGUUUCAGCAUCAACCUCUCACGUCUUAGCGGACGAGGGGAGUAGUAGCACCAGUCUAGACGCCUGUCUCCAGGACGAUGACAUCGAUGAAACCUCGCUGUUCCUGGAGAUCGACCGUGAGCUGGCCAACCUGCUGAGCGGCCUCAGCGCCAGGAGCCAGAAUGCUCCAGCCGCCUACACCCAACCUGAGGACAGCCUACACCCAGCGGACAGUAGUGAACAGCAGAGCGCAGCCAUCAUGAUCCCCUGUAGCGGUCAAAACGGGGCCUCGCAGGAUGUGGCCAGCCGGACCUCAGAGAGAAACGGUGAGGGGGUGGAGACCAAUGUGGACCUGGACAUGUCUGGCCUGGGCCUUGUUCCACCGGGAGACCCACUCCUCUCGCCCACCUUCCUCCUGGACUCGUGGACGGAGGCGCUGCUGAAAGAUACGGCUUCCCUGAGCUCCGCGGCCCAGAAGGCCUUGGGCGUCUCCACCGUGGCGGCCGAGGUAAACGGAGACUUCAGGAAUGCGCCCGCUGCGAACUGCCAAGAAAAAACAAGUGCCGGCCUGACAGCUGCUGCAUUCACAUCUGGGCCAUGCUCAGGGGCGGGUGUGGUACCCGUGGUGGACCAUUCUGAACCUCCCAGGAGGGGUUCAGAGGCAGCGACCGAGCCUGCCGGAGGGGGGCUGCUCCUGGACGAGGAGUCCCUGGAGGAGUCCAGUAAAAUCCUGGCCGAGAUCCCAGGCAUUUUCACCGCCUUCCUAGACGGGGGCCAGCUGAGGGAGAAGCCCCCUAAGAAACUGCGAUUUGCGGAGAGCCGGCCAGGGAGCACGACGACGGUGGUGGCGGCGACAGACGUUUGUGGUCAGAUGGGACAUGAGCGAGGUAGUGAGGACUCGGAGAAGGGACUGGAGGGAGGUAGGAGCUGCAGCGGUCUGAAGGUAGAGAGCUCUGUGGACAGUCUGAGUCCUCUAGAGAGACUCCCCUGCCGGCUGUCCCUGGAGGACGAGGUGUUCCGGGUGCUCCCUGACAUAUUUCUGCACCAGAGCCCUGAUGGAGACGCGGCACGGGAGCCCAGCUCAGAUAGGAGUACGAAGACCAAUGGCAGCGAGGACCCGUCGGAUAACCGGGAUGGCAAGGAGACAUCGGAGAGCCAGGAGGCCACCGACGUCUUCAGCUCGCAGUUCGAGAGCAUCCUGGAGUCAGACCGUUUCCGUAGCACCCUUUACAGCAGCCUGGACUCUCUGGAUGCCCUAUCUUCCUCGGCUGACGACGAGGCGGACUCGGGCUUCACUUUCGACAUGCCCCUUACUCCCAUGAUCCAGCAACGCCUCAAGGAGACGGGCCACUUUGUGGAGUUGUUGCCCGACGCGGGGCGCCAGCGGGAGCGCCAGGAGCUACUCAGCGUCACGACCACGGGGAAGGGCGGGAAAGCCGCCCUGGAAGUGACGUCUUCCUACCUAGAGGAGGUGGUAGCGAGUGGGGACCCCGCUUUCAGCGGCCAAUCAGAUAAACAUUCCAGCGGACCCCUGGCCAAUGGGGUGGAGCGGGACCCAAAGGACUGGCUGCACGGCUGCCUGAGCAGUGAUGCAGGGCUGAAGACGGCGCUGUCGGACUGGGACUCAGACAUGGGCAGCACGGAGCGGCUGAAGGACAGCACAGACACUCUGCUCAAUGGAAACCGAGGAGACCAAGAGGGGGCCCAGCGCCUCGCACGACGGCUCUACCACCUGGAGGGCUUUCGCCGCUCCGACGUGGCCAAGCACCUGGGAAAGAACAAUGACUUCAGCAAGAUGGUUGCUGAAGAGUACCUUACAUUUUUUGAAUUUACAGGGAUGACAUUGGACCAAUCUCUCAGAUCUUUCUUGAAAGCUUUUGCACUAAUAGGCGAAACCCAGGAGAGAGAAAGGGUUUUGAUCCACUUUUCCAAUAGGUACUAUCAAUGUAACCCCACCGUCAUCUCCUCACAAGAUGGAGCCCAUUGCCUUACAUGUGCUCUGAUGCUGUUGAACACGGACCUUCAUGGCCAUAAUAUCGGGAAGAAGAUGACGUGCCAGGAAUUCAUCAAUAACCUGGAAGGGUUAAAUGGAGGACAAGAUUUCCCCCGAGAGCUCCUAAAGGCCUUGCACAACUCAAUCAAAAACGACAAGCUGGAAUGGGCCAUAGAUGGUGAUGAGCUGAAGAAGUCUCUGUCUGAGCUGGCAGACAACAAGGACAAUAAAAGUAUCACGCGGAUCAGCAGUGGCAGUAACCCCUUCCUGGACAUUGCCCACGACCCCAACGCCGCAGUCUACAAAACAGGCUUCCUGGCCCGCAAAAUCCACGCCGACAUGGACGGCAAGAAAACACCAAGAGGAAAGCGAGGCUGGAAAACAUUCUAUGCUGUUCUCAAAGGAAUGAUCCUCUACUUGCAGAAGGACGAGUACAAGGCUGAGAAGGCCCUCUCAGAGGAGGACCUAAAGAAUGCCAUCAGCAUCCACCACGCCUUGUCCAUCAAAGCCGUGGACUACGAGAAGAAGCCCAACGUUCUCAAGCUCAAGACAGCCGACUGGAGGGUCUUCCUCUUCCAGGCCCAGAGCCCAGAGGAAAUGGACUCUUGGAUCAGAGUAGUCAACUCUGUGGCGGCCAUGUUCUCUGCCCCCUCGUUCCCCGCCGCCAUUGGCUCUCAGAAGAAAUUCAGCCGUCCACUGCUACCGGCCACCACCACGAGGAUGUCACAGGAGGAACAGCUGAAGUCUCACGAGGCGAAGCUGAAGCACGUAUCCACAGAGCUGGCAGAGCACAGAUCCUACCCUCCUGACAAGAAGGUUAAAGCCAAGGAGAUCGACGAGUACCGACUCAAAGAGCACUACCUGGAGUUUGAGCCCUUCGGAACACUGAUCCGUGCGGAAACAGACCGUUUCUGACAUGCCUCCAGGCAGACCGCUGGGGAAGUCUCUGACAACCUUAAUGGAGCUUUGCUUUUCUUAUCUGACAGGCUCAGGAGUGCAUCUCUCUCAGCCCUGCUCUCUAUUCUGAACACGGUCGUGUCCUUAGGUCAAGAUUCCAAGGAUAUCACCAAAGAUGGGAUAGAAACAUUUGAGAAGUCAUUGCAUUUGUUUGUUUUUUAAACACACAAGGUCACAAACUGCCAAGUAGCUGCUUGAAAGGUCAUUCUUGGCGUUUGUUUCCCGGAUUUAAAGUAGAGUGGGUAUGGUCGACGUACAGUAUGCAUCUAUCACUGUUUAGGGGGUGGCUGUACUGGCAAGCUUAACGAGAGCAUAUGUAAAAGGAACUCUCUGACCUCUAUUGUCAUGGCGUUACAAUAUAGAGCUCAGACAAACGUCCAUUAAAAUGUCAUUUCAAUUUCGUCCCUUGAGCUCAUUUAUGCUGGUGAACACAAAUCUAUUUAUUUACAUGAGUCUUAAACAUUGAUUAUGGAUAAAGAAUAUAUUUUUAUUUUUUUUCUUCUGAGAAAGCAUUAGUUGACAUGCUUCUCGUCAGUGUCAGCAAUUAUUCCAUCACAGCUUUCCUCUGGCCUUCCUCAAUUUCCAUGUCAUAGGUUUCUAAUGAACCCCACGAAAGCCCUGUAUUAAUUGAGCUGUCACUAUAACACUGUUUUCCAAUCAAACUUCCGCAGGAGAAGACACGACCUCAUCAAUAACCUUCUUCAUUGAGCAAAUUGUUUGUUUUUUUUGUUUGUUUUUUCAUCAAAGAAACAGCGCUUUCUUGAAGUACCAGAUAAUCAAUUAAAUUGUGUGCUCCCUUUGUGCAAAACAUCAUAGGAAUAAUGAUAUCCUCCUGGCUUUACCACUCUGCCUGCGGAGCUUUACCACUUUCCUACUCGCCUGUCGCGCCAAAUGGCAUCCUCUAUAUAGUGCACUACCCUUUGGGCCCUGGUCAAAGCAAUGCACUAUAAAGGGAAUAGGGUGUCAUUUAGGACGCCCUGGUCAAAGCAAUGCACUAUAAAGGGAAUAGGGUGUCAUUUAGGACGCAGACCCUGUUUACACAGGGAUCAAUGUGGUCAGAUCUCUUUGAGUAAGGUUCAGACAUACAGGUCAGGCCCCUCAGAUCCUGAACCCUAACCCUCAGCUCCCUAACCCUCAGAACCUUUUCUUAAAUCUGUUAAUGGUUGAUUGCAGUCUUUUUACUGUGUCCAGCCCACAAUCGCCAAAACAAAAGCUAGAGAGAGAGGGCAUAGACAGUCACAGGCAUACCUCUGUGAAUGACAUUCAUCAAGCACAGCACUUACACAAAUCAUUCACUAAACCCUAACCCUCAGCUAAAUCUUGUAAUGAAUCAUGUGGAAAUUUAGCAAGUUUAGGAGAUAUGUUCAUAACAUAUUGAUUAACAGUAGCUAGGCUGGGGAGAAGUCUGUUCAUAAUAAAGCUCUGCGUUCUUAACAGCACCAUCAACAAGGCAGGUCCUAGUUUUGUUGCGCCUGGUUUACUGUUAAGCCAUGUGGUCAGGUGCCACAAAGAGGGACUUUGCAAUUGGCACAGGACAGCACGGCUGGCCCUUGCAUUUACACAGGCAGCUGAUAUUAAUAGUAUGCAUGUCAAUCUCUCCUGGCUCAAAUUGAGGGAGGGAUUGACUUCAUCACUACUUGUGUUUGUGAGAGGUAUUGCCAUGUUUAAUUCACCGAGCUGUCUGUCUGAACUACUGGCACACGCAGCUCAGACCCUCAUUCAUACCCCAGACAUGCCACCAGAGGUCUCUUCACAGUCCCCAAGUUGACUAUAGGAGCCGAACAGUACUACAUAGAGCCAUGACUGUAUGAAGAUGGCGUCGGAGGGGGAUGGCUGUAGCCUUAUUGGCUCUUACCAACCGUACUAUUUUUGUUUUUUGCAUUAUUCGUAACUAGUUUUGUACAUAAUGUUGCUGCUACUGUCUCUUAUGACUGAAAAGAGCUUCUGGACAUCAGAACUGCGUUUACUCACCUCAGAUUAGACCGUUUUUCUUCAAGGAGUCUGACAGGAGGGUGAUACUAGACACCCGACCAGGCCCUCAUCCCCGUCAUUCGCUGAAGAAGGAAAUAUAUAUUUUGCGGAAAAAGAUUAGGGUUUCUUACGAGGAUCAGGCGACGAGUGGCUAAUCUGCCUUUGCCUUCCGUCCUGCUAGCUAACAUUCUAUCGCUGGAAAAUAAAUGGGACGAACUGAAAGCACGUAUAUCCUACCAACGGGACAUGAAAAACUGUAAUAUCUUAUGUUUCACUUAGUCAUGGCUGAACGACGACAUUAAGAAAAUGGUGUAUAACCCACCAGCUCUAUCGGCAGGAUAGAACAGAAACCUCUCGUUAGACACUGGGCGGGGGCCUAUGCAUUUAUGUAAAGAGCUGGUGCAUGAUAUCUAAGGCAAGUCUCGAGGUUUUGCUCGCCUGAGGUAUAAUAUCUCAUAAGCUGUAGACCACAUCUGCCUAGAGAGUUCAUCUGUAUUUUUCGUAGCUGUCUACAUAACACCACAGUCCGAAGCUGGAACUAAAACUGCACUCAAUGAGCUGUAUACCGCCAUACGCAAACAGGAAAACACUCAUCGAGACGGCGCCCCUAGUGGCCGAGGGACUUUAAUGCAGGGAAACUUAAAUCAGUUUAAUCUAAUUUUAUCAGCAUGUUAAAUGUGCAGCCAGAGGGAAAACAAUUCUAGACCACCUUCACUCCACGCACAGAGAUGCGUACAAAGCUCUCCUUCGCCCUCCAUUUGGCAAAUCUGACCAUAACUCUGUGCUCCUGAUUCCUGCUUAAGAGCAAAAAUUAAAGCAGGAAGCCCCAAUAACACCAGCGACAAAAAAAUAAUAUUUUUUUUAAAAGUAGUCAGAUGAAGCAGAUACUAAACUACAGGACUGUUUUGCUAGUACGGAGUGGAAUAUGUUCUGGGAUUCUUCCAAUGGCAUUAAGGAGUACACGUCAGUGACUGGCUUUAUCAAUAAGUGCAUCGAGAACGCAUACCCCAACCAGAAGCCACAGAUUGCAGGCAACAUUCGCACUGAGCUAAGGGUAGAGCUGUCGCUUUCAAGGAGCGGUACUCUAACCCGGAAGCUUAUAAAAAAUCCUGCUAUGUCCUCUGAUGAACCAUCACAGGCAACAUCAAUACAGGACUAAGAUCGAAACGUACUACACAGGCUCCGACGCUCGUCGGAUGUGGCAGGGCUUGCACUAUUAGACUAUAAAGGGAAGUACAGCCGAGAGCUGCACAGUGACAUGAGCCUACCAGGCGAGCUAAAUAACUUCUAUGCUCGCUUCGAGGCAAGUAACACUGAAACAUGCAUGAGAACAUCAGCUGUUCCGGAUGACUCUGUUAUCACGCUCUCCGCAGCCGAUGUGAGAAAAACCUUUAAACAGGUCAACAUUCACAAGGUCGCUGGGCCAGACGGAUUACCAGGACGUUUUCAAUCUCUGCCUGUCUGAGUCUGUAAUACCAACAUGUUUCAAGCAGACCACUAUAGUCCCUGUGCCCAAGAACACUAAGGUAACCUGCCUAAAUGACUACUGACCUGUGCACUCACAUCUGUAGCUAUGAAAUGCUUUGAAAAGCUGGUCAUGGCUCACAUCAAAACCAUUAUUCCAGAAACCCUAGACCCGCUCCAAUUUGCGUACCAAAUCCACAGAUGACGCAAUCUCUACUGCACUCCACACUGCCCAUUCACCCCUGGACAAAAGGAACACCUAUGUGAAAAUGCUAUUCAUUGACUACAGCUCAGCGUUCAAUACCGUACUCCCCUCAAAGCUCGUCACUAAGCGAAGGACCCUGGGACUAAACACCUCCCUCUGCAACUGGAUCCUGGACUUCCUGACGGGCCGCCCCCAGGUGGAAAGGGUAGGUAACAUCACAUCCGCCACACUGAUCCUCAACACGGGGGGCCCCUCAGGGGUGCGUGCUCAGUCCCCUCCUGUACUCCCUGUUCACUCAUGACUGCACGGCUAGGCACGACUCAAACAUCAUGAAGUUUGCUGAUGACACAACAGUGGUAGGCCUGAUUACCGACAACAAUGACAGCCAUUAGGGAGGUGGUCAGAGACCUGACCGUGUGGAAAGACAACAACCUCUCCCUCAACAUGAUCAAGACAAAGGAGAUGAUUGUGUACUGCAGGAGGAGGACGACUGAGCACGCCCACAUUCUCAUUAAUGGGGCUGUAGUGGAGCAGGUUGAGAGUUUCAAGUCCCUUGACUUCCACAUCACCAACAAACUAACAUGGUCCAAGCACACCAAGACAGUCGUGAAUAGGGCACAACACAAACCUAUUCCCCCUCAGGAGACUGAAAAUAUUUGGAAUGCGUCCUCAGAUCCUCAAAAGGUUUUACAGCUGCACCAUUGAGCAUCCUGACGGGUUGCAUCACUGCCUGGUAUGCCAACUGCUCAGCCUCCAACCGCAAGGCAUUGCAGAGGGUAGUGCGUACGGCCCAGUACAUCACCGGGGCCAAGCUUCCUGCCAUCCAGGACCUCUAUACCAGGCGGUGUCAGAGGAAGGCCCUAAAAAUUGUCAGAGACUACAGCCACCCUAGUCAUAGAUUGUUCUCUCUGCUACCGCACGGCAAGUGGUACCGGAGCGCCAAGUCUAGGUCCAAGAGGCUUCUCAACAGCUUCUACCCCCAAGCCGUAAGACUCCUGAACAGCUAAUCAAAUGGCUACCCAGACUCUUUGCAUUGCCCCCCCCACCCUCUUCUACUCUGUUGGUAUCUAUGCAUAGUCAUUUUAACUCUACCUAAAUGUACAUAUUGCCUUGACACCGGUGCCCCCGCACAUUGAUUCUGUACCGGUAACCGUGAAGCAACACAAACAUAGGCACAUGCAUACAAACACACAAUAACAUACUCACUAUACACACAUACACAUGGAUUUUGUGUUGUAGAUAUGUGGUACUAGAGUAGGGGCCUGAGGGGGCACACUUACAAUGUUGGGAAAUCUGUUGUGAAUGUUUUGAUGUUUCUUUUUUAAUGUAUUACUGCCUUAGUUUUGCAGGACCCCAGGAAGACUAGCUGCCUCCAUAAUAAAUACAAAAAUCAAGCACUGCCUUUUAAGCUAGCUCUACCUCUGUGAAACACUACCGUAAUCAAUGAGCUAGCUAUACCUCUGUGAAACACUACCGUAAUCAAUGAGCUAGCUAUACCUCUGUGAAACACUACCGUAAUCAAUGAGCUAGCUAUACCUCUGAAACACUACCGUAAUCAAUGAGCUAGCUCUACCUCUGUGAAACACUACCGUAAUCAAUGAGCUAGCUCUACCUCUGUGAAACACUACUGUAAUCAAUGAGCUAGCUCUACCUCUGAAACACUACCGUAAUCAAUGAGCUAGCUCUACCUCUGUGAAACACUACCGUAAUCAAUGAGCUAGCUCUACCUCGGUGAACAACUACCGUAAUCAAUGAGCUAGCUCUACCUCUGUGAAACACUACCGUAAUCAAUGAGCUAGCUCUACCUCUGAAACACUACCGUAAUCAAUGAGCUAGCUCUACCUCUGAAACACUACCGUAAUCAAUGAGCUAGCUCUACCUCUGAAACACUACCGUAAUCAAUGAGCUAGCUCUACCUCUGUGAAACACUACCGUAAUCAAUGAGCUAGCUCUACCUCGGUGAACCACUACCGUAAUCAAUGAGUUAGCUCUACCUCUGUGAAACACUACCGUAAUCAAUGAGCUAGCUAUACCUCUGUGAAACACUACCGUAAUCAAUGAGCUAGCUCUACCUCGGUGAACAACUACCGUAAUCAAUGAGCUAGCUCUACCUCUGUGAAACACUACCGUAAUCAAUGAGCUAGCUAUGCCUCUGUGAAACACUACUGUAAUCAAUGAGCUAACUACUGUAAUCAAUGAGCAGACCCCAACCACAGGGAAAUUAAUGCGCUAAUUGGUCAAGGAAUGAUCUGGAUGCAAAGCCAAGGAGAUCUCUUUUUAGAUCUACGGUAGAUCUAGUUAUAUGUACUUUAGUUUUCUAAUAUAUUUCUUUUAUAUAUUGGUAUUCCAUUAGUACAAGCUUGGCAUGCAAGUGGGGGUGACGGUCAGCGACGGUAUUGAAUUAGUAAUCAGCAGGGUUAAGAGGAUUUAGUGGUGGGCCAGGACGAUCUGAGAACCAAGUCCACCUCUCUGCCACAUGUCUUAUCAAUGCUUCUGCUAUUCCAGUUUAGUUCAUUAUUACUCCAUUUUAGCAGAGUUCUUCUACCACAGGGAGAUAUGAUAAAGAACAAUUAAACAUUCAUGACCAACUCAUUAAUUCUGUUGUCGAUCUCCAAUGAAUCCUUCCCUGAAUUAAUAGAAUUAUCUUUAGUCAGAGAGAGAACAGAAACGUUCUCCCCUGGCCCCUCUCCACUGUAAGGCUCUUAACAUCUCAGAAACUGUUUCAUACUAGAGAAGAACAUGUCUCUGGGGUUGUUGCUAUCUGUGUGUUAGUCUGUCUCCCUGGAAUUGUUAUGUGUCACAUAGAACCUUAAAGAAAUUAUGAGAGAAUGCUGCAGUCACUCGAAUUGCAGAUAUAUCUGUUUCUCUGGUUAAACAAGGAACACAUCCUGGAAUGUGGAGACUUACAGCACUGGGACACAACCUUGACUGGAUGCCCUUUCUUGUUGUUUACAGUGCACACCAUUUGUUGUAAUGAAUUGCCUUAUCGGCCUGUGAUUUCACCUCUUAAUCCUGUGGUAAGUAGGGGUCCAAGCACUGCAAAAGGGUUGCCGUGAAACAAUGAACUUGAAUAAGGUCGUUGAUGCUGACAUUUAACACCAUAGUACCCUCCAAACUUGUCAUUAACCGUGGGUCUCAAUCCCGCCCUGUGCAACUGGGUCCUGGACUUCCUAACGGGCCACCACCAGGUGGUGAGGGUAGGAAACAUCUCCACCCCUCUGAUCCUCAACACUGGGACCCCACAAGGGUGCGUUCUCAGCCCUCUCCUGUACUCCCUGUUCACCCAUGACUGUGUGACCAUGCACACCUCCAACUCAAUCAAGUUUGCAGGCGACACUACAGUGGUAGGCUUGAUUACCAACAACGACGAGACUGCCUACAGGGAAGAAGUGAGGGCCCUCGGAGUGUGUUGUCAGGAAAAUAACCUCGCACUCAACGUCAACAAAACAAAUGAGAUGAUCGUGGACUUCAGGAAACAGCAGAGGGAGCACUCCCCUAUCCACGGAACAGUAGUGGAGAAGGUGGAAAGUUUUAAGUUCCUUUGCGUACACAUCACUGACAAACUGAAAUGGUCCACCCCCACAGACAGUGUGGUGAAGAAGGCACAACAGCGUCUCUUCAACCUCAGGAGGCUGAAGAAAUUCGGCUUGUCACCAAAAACACUCAAGAGCAUCCUGUUGGGCUGUAUCACCGCCUGGUAUGGCAACUGCUCCGCCCACAACCGUAAGGCUCUCCAGAGGGUAGUGAGGUCUGCACAACGCAUCACCGGGGGGAAACUGCUCUCCAGGACACCUACACCACCCGGUGUCACAGGAAGGCCAAAAAGACCAAGGGCAACAACCACCCGAGUCACUGUCUUUUCACCCCUCUAUCAUCCAGAAGGCGAGGUCAGUACAGGUGCAUCAAAGCUGGGACCGAGAGACUGAAAAACAGCUUCUAUCUCAAGGCCAUCAGACUGUUAAACAGCCAUCACUAACAUUGAUUGGCUGCUGCCAACAUACUGACUCAAUCUCUAGCCACUUUAAUAAUGGAAAAAUGUAUGUAAUAAAUUUAUCACUAGUCACUUUAAACUCUGCCACUUUAUAUAAUGUUUACAUACCCUACACUACUCAUCUCAUAUGUAUAUACUGUACUCUAUUCCAUCUACUGCAUAUUGCCUAUGCCGUUCGGCCAUAUUUUCAUAUACAUAUUCUUAUUCAUUGCUUUACACUUGUGUAUAAGGUAGUUGUUGUGAAAUUGUUAGAUAUUAGAUAUUACUGCAAGGUCGGAACUAGAAGCGCAAGCAUUUCACUACACUCGCAUUAACAUCUGCUAACCGUGUGUAUGUGACAAAUAAAAUUUGAUUUUGACAUUGUUUGUGCUAUAAUCAGCACAAGAUUAUUUAACUUGUUUGGUUGUCAUGAUAUUUGGCAGACUUGUAGAGAGGCAUGAGAGGGACUCAUUCAAUGGAUAUGUGAUCAGGCCAGAGGUGGUGAUAUCAUUCAUUGGAUACGUGAUCAGGCCAGAGGUGGCGAUAUCAUUCAAUGGAUACGUGAUCAGGCCAGAGGUGGCGAUAUCAUUCAAUGGAUACGUGAUCAGGCCAGAGGUGGCGAUAUCAUUCAAUGGAUACGUGAUCAGGCCAGAGGUGGCGAUAUCAUUCAAUGGAUACGUGAUCAGGCCAGAGGUGGCGAUAUCAUUCAAUGGAUACGUGAUCAGGCCAGAGGUGGCGAUAUCAUUCAAUGGAUACGUGAUCAGGCCAGAGGUGGCGAUAUCAUUCAAUGGAUACGUGAUCAGGCCAGAGGUGGCGAUAUCAUUCAAUGGAUACGUGAUCAGGCCAGAGGUGGCGAUAUCAUUCAAUGGAUACGUGAUCAGGCCAGAGGUGGCGAUAUCAUUCAAUGGAUACGUGAUCAGGCCAGAGGUGGCGAUAUCAUUCAAUGGAUACGUGAUCAGGCCAGAGGUGGCGAUAUCAUUCAUUGGAUACGUGAUCAGGCCAGAGGUGGCGAUAUCAUUCAAUGGAUACGUGAUCAGGCCAGAGGUGGCGAUAUAAACCAAAGUAGUUGCUGUAGUUGUUUUCCGUCAUUUCUUGUUCGCCAGUAUAUAAGUCUUACAUGUGUUUGUAUUCUACACCGUAACACCCUAUUCUCUGUGUCGUCUCUCCG